AGCCACGCCCUGCCGGGUGCUUUCCCAUGGGCGACCGAAACUCGGCUCGUGGUUUCGCAGUCCUGGAACCGCCGGCACCCGCGUAGACCGUCCCCUCUCGGUGCUGGCUCUGGCUCCCGGGAUGAGUGUCCCCGUCGGCGCUGCCCCGCCCUCGCUCGUCGCCUCAGCGACCAUGGCCUUUCCAGGAGGCGAGGCCGCCAGCCAUAGCGCCCUCGCUGCGUCGGCGUCCAGGCGGGACUCCGGAGUGGGCGGGGCUCCGGCUCUAGGCAGGCUGCUAUGUUGGAUCAAGUAAAGUUCUAAACGCUGUGCACCUAUUUAGUACUGACUAGUACUAGGAAGUGUAUUUGCUUUUCGGAGAUGAUGGGAUCUAAAUUUUGUUUAUACCACUUCACGCCCAUUAGGAUGGCUACUAGCAAAACCCCCAGAAAUUAGUGUUGGUGAAGAUGUAGAGAAAUUGAAGCCCUUGUAUAUUGCUGUUGGGAAUGUAAAAUGGUGCAGCCAUGUGAUGAACAAUACUGCGGUUCCUCAACAAAUCAGUUAUAUGAUCCAGCAUUUUCUUUUCUGGGUAUAUAACCCAAAAGAAUUUAAAACAGGGUGUACAAGAAGAAAUGUUUUUACACUCACGUUGACAGCGGCACUAUUCACAAUAGCCAAAAGGGUGGAGGCAAUUUAAGUGUCCAAAAACAGAUACAUGGAUAAGCAAAAUGUUGUCUGUGCAUGCAAGGGAACAUUUUUUAGCCUGAACAAAGAACGAAAUUCUGACACUUGCUACUACAUGGAUGAACCUGGAGGACACUAUGCUGAGGGAGAGACUCCAGUCCCACCAGAUUUCCCACCGAUCUGCUGACAUGAUGCUCCUGCCUCUGCCUGGACUGCUGACCUCCCCACGUGCUUCUCCCUGCUUAUCCAAGCGCCCCUUUCCCACUGAAAGCAUCUCAGAACCCUGAAGAAGCUGCAUCCCUGUACAUCUGUCACUGGCAGAACCAGGAACCAGAACGAGAUCUUAUCAUAAAACCUAUGGAAGAAAUCGAGGAUGUUUGCAUAGGACGUUUUUGGAGAAUUUGGCCUUUUGAAAGAAAAUGUAACUAAGCUCUGUGGUUCUGAAAGCUUCCUCUACCUGAGAUGAUUUCAAGAUCUCCAGGACACCUGUGGGUAUCAUUGGUAGAUGCUGUUCAGGUAGUUAAGGUGAUGUUGGUGAGUAUUAUUUGAUAAAAAUGCUGGAUAUUACAUUAACUCACUUCCAUUCUAGACUGCCAGUAACUACUAUCACCUACCUUUUACUUCACCUGAUAGAGAUAUGGGAGUUAAAAGAAAAUUUUUCAUCACUAAUGGUAGUCUUUGAGCUAUAUAAGGUCAGAAACAAAAAUAUCCAAGACUGAUUUCUUACCUUCAAAAAGUAGCAAGCAAGGUAAAAGCAAAUAAGCAGAUAACUUCCCAUUUAUCAGAGAUUGGGUGAAAUAGGACUACUAUGCACUCCAGGUUAGAGUCAAAGAUGCCUGCCAGUCACAAGGACCUGUAACCCGAUGCUUGCGGGCAUCUGUGAUGAAUCCUAGCCCCAGAUGAAAUACUCCCAGACCAAGUGGUUUGGCAGGGUCCAUUCCACAGGGGCAAUUUGCAUCUGGCAGCUGAUGAUGCCCUCUGUCCCCAUUAUAACCCACAAUCUAUAAUAGAGCUGCUUGGUUGCUGUAUUUUCUGAAAAAUAAAAAAAGACAAGCUUGUGACUAUCGAAGACCCAUUUACCUGUUGGUGGCAAGGAGCUGAAUGGCAUGGUGGGUGUAUUUCCUAGAUAGUUGGUCUCAGGCACUGGGAUAUUAUGCAGACUAGGCAUAUGACUUGGAAUUGGCCUGUACCAAACUCUGGGACCUGCUGUUCCUGGAUCCAGUGGUCUUGUUCCAAAGCCAUGUGAGCUAUAUAAUCCAUUGUUCUGAUACAGUACUUGAGGUUGGCUGGUGAGCCCUGAGGGCUGGUGCACUGCAUUACCAUGACUGGCUGCACUGGAAUAAGCAGUGCCUUUUCCCUCUGUAUUCUGAAAAUUCUCGUAAGGUCUUUGCUGUGCAAAAGGGUCAUGGGAGACCCUGCGUCUCCUUUCCUCCUCUCUGUUGUAAGCCACAUUCUGUCUGGGCUGCUGUUUCGUCUGCCUGUCCAUGCGGCUGCCAUAAAGAUGGUAGUUGGCUUCGUCUUGGAGUUUACUCUGCAGGCUGGGCUCAUUCUCUUCUUGUGGGUGCUCCAGGGAAGGAGCAAACCAGGACUCCUCCACAGGACCCAUCCCAAGUCCCUGGGAACUGUGCAGUGAACCAGGCUGUUCUGUGGCUGAGAAGAAAUGAUCAACAUUAGAAUGGGUGUCAUGAAACAUUAAAAAGUAAAAUAAAAUCUGAGCGCCGUCAUGAAUCUGUAUCUCAAAGUAACACACAGAAAACAAGUACGAGACCAGUCCAAAGCAUUUAGGAGAUGGUCCUCUUCCCACAAGCUUUACAAAUAAUAAUAGGAGCUCCUCGCUGGCAGUAAGAGAGUACUAGGAAAAUUAUAGCAAGCAAGAGAAAAGCGGCUGUUGCAGGGAUGAUCAAGGAAAAAAGGGACUUGGUUUGGAGCAGAGAAGGUGGUUGUCUCCUUGGAGCAAUUCAGGUGGAAAAUAAGAUCUGUGGCUGGGUGCGGUGGCUCACGCCUGUAAUCCUAGCACGUUGGGAGGCUGAGGCGGACGGAUCACCUGAGGUCAGGAGUUCGAGACCAGCCUGGCCAACAUGGCGAAACCCCAUCUCUACUGAAAAUACAAAAAUUAGCCGGGCAUGGUGGUGCAUGCCUGUAAUCCCUGCUGCUUGGGAGGCUGAGGCAGAAGAAUCGCUUGAACCUGAAAGGCGGAGGUUGUAGUGAGCCAAGAUCACACUACUGCACUCCAGCCGGGGUGACAGACUCUGUCUCCAAAAAAAAAAGAUCUGCAGCAGCUCUGUCCUAAGCAUGUCCCAUGAAUUCUUUCAUUCUUGAAGAGCCCUAUGAGAGGAGGAGCAAUUAUGAUUUGAUGAGUGAAGUUUAGAAGAGGUUAAGUAAUUAGCCACAGAUCAGGUAGCUAAGCGGCUUCAGUAUCCUAUACUCUGCCAUCCCUUUUGUUACAGUGAAAAAAGUAUCCCUACUUGACCUGAGACCAGCCUCUCUGCUUGUACCCUGGCUGUAAGUCACUCCGAGCUCCUCAGGGACUUUGCUCUCACAUAUGUCCCCUUCCUUCUUCUGAACUGUCACUUCUCCCCAUCAGAUAUAUUAGGCCUUUUGUUCAGAACACUCUAUGACUGGUGAGCACACUGUUACUUCAUAUUUCAAAUACAUGUAACUUGACUCUCGAAUAUUAUUAUAAAUUCCUGUAAGGCAGGUGUUCACUUU
rnacentral:lncRNA from 1 species